rnacentral:lncRNA from 1 species
CAAGGCAACAGAACUGAAAACAAACAAAAAAUCAUUGAGACCUAAUCAGUCUUCUACUUUUUGAAAUAAUAAUAUCUGUGCAUCUAUCUAUGAUUUCAUUUUUGUCUUUUCCAUUUCACAACAUUAAAAAUGUUUAAAUUGCUGAGUAUAUAAGGCUAUUUUCUAAAAUUCAAAGAAUUUGUCCUAUAUUUAUUGAACAUACAAUCAACCAGGAAACAUUAUUUCUUUUUUUAAAUUUAUAUAUUACUCAAUGAAUUUAUUACAUCUAUAGUUGUACAAUGAUCAUCACAAUCCAGUUUUCCAUCCGACAACCACAGUGCUUCCCCCCCAGUGCUUCUCCCCAGUGCUUUCCAUCCCACACCCCGAGUGUUUCCCUCAACCUCUCUCUUUUGGAAACCAUAAGGUUUUCAAAGUCUGUGAGUCAGUAUCUGUUCUGCAAAGUUAAUUGUGGCCUUUUUUCAGAUUCCAUAUGUCAGUAAAGGCUUUUAAUGUUGGUGUCUCAUUGUCUGACUUCACUAUCACUAGCAUGAUAAUUUCUCUGUCCAUCAUGUUGCUAAAAAUGCCAUUAUUUCAUUUCUUUUGAUGGCUGAGUAAUAUUCCAUUGUGUAUAUGUACCACAUCUUUAUCCAAUCCUCUGUUGAUGGAUAUUUAGGUUGUUUCCAUGUCUUGGCUAUUGAAAAUAGUGCUGCAAUGAACAUUGGAGUACAUGUGUUUUUUCGAGUCAUGGUUUUCUCUGGAUAGAUGCCCAGGAGUGGGAUGGCUGGAUCAAAUGGUAGUUCCAUGUUUAGUUUUCUGAGGAAUCGCCAUACUGUUUUCCACAGCAGUUGCCCCAAUUGACAAUCCCACCAACAGUGUAAUAGGGUUCCUUUUUCUUCACACCCUCUAUAGCACUUAUUGUUUGUAGACUUUUUGAUGAUGGCCAUUCUGGCUUGGUGGAAGGUGGUACCUCAUCAUGGUUUUGAUUUGCAUUUCUCUAAUAAUGAGUGAUGUUGAACAUCUUGUCAUGUGUGUUUUGGCCAUCUGUAUGUCUUCUUUGGAGAACUGUCUGUUUAGAUCUUCUGCCCAUUUUUUGAUGGGGUUGUUUGUUUUUUUGGUAUUGAGCUGUAGGAGGUGUUCAUAAAUUUUUGAGAUUAUUCCCUUGUCAGUCGAUUCAUUUGCAAAUAUCUUCUCCCUUCUGUGGGUUGUCUUUUUGCACACACCUACAGUCAACUAAUCUAUGACCAAGGAGCAAGAAUAUACAAUGGAGAAAAGACAGCCUGUUCAAUAAGCGGUGCUUGGAAAACUGGACAGCCACAUGGAAAAGAAUGAAAUUAUAACACUCCCUAACACCAUACACAAACAUAAAUUCAAAAUGGAUUAAAGACCUAGAUAUAAGACCAGAUACUAUAAAACUCUUAGAGGAAAACAUAGGCCAAACGCUCUCUGACAUAAAUGACAACAACAUCUUCUCAGGUCCACCUAUUAGAGUAAUGACGGUAAAAACAUAAAUAAAUGGGACUUAAUUAAACUUAAAAGUUUCUUCACAGCAAAGGAAACCCUAAACAAAAUGAAAAGACAAUCUAUUUUAUUUCUUUAUUUUUUUAGGUCCUCACCCAUGGCAUAUGGAGGUUCCCAGGCUAGGGAUCCAGUCAAAGCUGUAGCCACCAGUCUACACCAGAGCCACAGCCACUGGGGAUCUGAGCCAUGUCUGUAAUCUACACCACAGCUCACAGCAAUGCCAGAUCCUUAAGCCACUGAGCAAGGCCAAGGAUCAAACCCACAUCCUCAUGGUUGCUAGUUGGGUUUGUUAACUACUGAGAGGCUUCUAUUUUCAAUGUUAUUUUAUUUACAGGGGAGGAAGCCCAGAGAUACUAGGUAACUUGCCAGAAACCUCAAAGCCAGUACCUGGUAAAACAGAGUUACUCCAGGUUUUUCUGAUUCUUAUGCCUUGACUCUUUCCAAAUUUUACCUUUUCCUUGAACAUACUAAAGAUUCUUUUAAGAUCACAUGGCAGAAAGUGCAUAUGCUGGUGUACCAAGGAAAUAAAAUGGGCAAAGCCUGAGGUGGUUAAACUGGUCUCAGUCAGGGCUGGAAACACACCACUGAGCAUAAGCCACCUUGGUCAAUUCAAUGUUGGUGUGUUGGGAAAAGCAAUUGUCUUAAAAGUCUACAAAGUAAUGCUUUAUUUACCUGAUCCAGGGCCUCUGAGUUAUGCAAAAGAAUACUCUAUAAAAGAAUCACAUCAUUGGUAUUUGAGAUGUGUUUAUUAUCUUGGCAAAUAGAUCUACUUAGAUACAAGGUUUGCUCUUCAAACUUGGACCUAGCCACACUUUGAUUUAUCUAAAAUAUCCCUCCAAAGUGAGAACUCAUUCACUCUUAAUGAUUCUCCUAUAAAUUUGUUUAUGGGUGAUUUCAGCUAUGAGGUGUCAACUGGGACACAGAUUUAAUGAACAUGGGUAGGGUAAAUCUUCCAUUACAGAGGACAAAUGAGGCAUUUUGUUCAAGACAAUUUACUAAGUAUGUCCUAUAUAAUGAGAUCUGCAUUGUAACAAAGCGAGCAUGUGUCUCCUGUUUGGUUUAGAAAAGAGCUGUAUCAGAGUUGGUGGCUGACCAUAGCAGCUUUUACAGUGGUGCUGUUGGUGUUGUAACUUGACAAGCUUUCAGAAUAGACUGGCACCAGACUCACUUUUGUCAAUGCUAAAUUAAGGGUUCUUCAUAACUGGAAAGCAAUCACUUAUGUAAGCCAGCAUACAGAUCUAAGAGUGGCGGGGGGUGGGGAACUGCUGUAAUAACAAUGAUAAACACAAGGAGCUGCAAAAGGACAAACAUUAAUAUGUUAAAAAAGGACUUCAAAAUCCUAGAAUGUGGGGAAGGAAAGUAAAAUCUAAAUUCUUUUUUUUUUUUAAUAAUGUGUUUGAGACUUACGACUAUCAGGCUAAAGCAAGCAGAUACAGGAAGGGGUUAACAUACUUAAAAAACAGGGCAGCCACAAAUCAAAACCAAAUAUUACAUUCACAAAAACUAGAAAGAAAAGUACACAAGCAUAAAAUAAAUAGAAAUUAUCCAACCAAAAAAAAAAAAAGAGGAGGGAAGAAAGGAGAAAUAUAGGAUCAACUAGAAAACAAGGUUUAAAAUGGCAAUAAAUACGUGUUAUCAAUAAUUGACUUAAAUGCCAGUGGACUAAAUGUUCCAAUCAAAAGACACAGAGUGGCAGAUUGGAUAAAAAAGCAAAGAACUACAAUCUGCUGUUUAUAAGAGACUCACCUUAGGGCAAAGGACACAUAUAGAUUGAAAGUGAAGAGAGAAAAAGAUAUUUCAUGCUAAUGAACAAGACAGAAAAGCAGGAGUUGCAGUACUCAUAUCAGAAAAAAUAGACUUUAAAAUUAAGGCCAUAAGGAAGGACAAAGAAGGACACUAUUUAAUGAUAAAAGGAUCCAUUCAAAAAGAGAUAUUACAGUUGUCAAUAUAUAUGCCCCUAAUAUAGGAUCACUCGGAUACAAACAACAAGUACUAACAGAUGUAAAAGGAGAAACUGAUGGGAAUACAAUAAUAGUAGGAGGUUUUCACACCACAAUCACAUCAAUGGAAAGAUGCUAUAGAGAGAAAAUCAGUAUGGCAACAAAGAUCCUAAAUGACACAAUAAACAGGCUUAUUUGAUAUUUUCAGGACGUUACAUCCCAAAAAAUCAGAAUAUACAUUCUCAAGGAUCGAUCACAUACUGGGGCACAAAGCUAAACUCAACAAAUUUAAGAAUAUAGAGAUUAUUUCAAGUAUCUUCUCUGACCACAGUGACAUGAAACUAGAAAUCAACCAC